rnacentral:rRNA from 1 species
CCUACGUGGCGCAGCAGUGGGGACUAUUGGGCAAUGGGCGCAAGCCUGACCCAGCAACGCCGCGUGAAGGAAGAAGGCUUUCGGGUUGUAAACUUCUUUUCUGAGGGAAGCAGAAAGUGACGUACCUCAGGAAUAAGCAACGGAUAACUACGUGACAGCAGCCGCGGUAAUACGUAGGUGGCAAGCGUUAUCCGGAUUUAUGGGGGGUAAAGGGCGGGUAGGCGGGAAAGCAAGUCAGAUGUGAAAACUCAGGGCUCAACCCUGAGCCUGCAUUUGAAACUGUUUUUCUUGAGUGCUGGAGAGGCAAUCGGAAUUCCGUGUGUAGCGGUGAAAUGCGUAGAUAUACGGAGGAACACCAGUGGCGAAGGCGGAUUGCUGGACAGUAACUGACGCUGAGGCGCGAAAGCGUGGGUAGCAAACAGGAUUAGAUACCCCGGUAGUC